rnacentral:rRNA from 1 species
AUUGAACGCUGGCGGCAUGCUUUACACAUGCAAGUCGAACGGCAGCGCGGGCUUCGGCCUGGCGGCGAGUGGCGAACGGGUGAGUAAUGCAUCGGAACGUGCCCAGUAGUGGGGGAUAGCCCGGCGAAAGCCGGAUUAAUACCGCAUACGACCUGAGGGUGAAAGCGGGGGACCGAAAGGCCUCGCGCUAUUGGAGCGGCCGAUGUCGGAUUAGCUAGUUGGUGGGGUAAAGGCUUACCAAGGCGACGAUCCGGAGCUGGUCUGAGAGGACGACCAGCCACACUGGGACUGAGACACGGCCCAGACUCCUACGGGAGGCAGCAGUGGGGAAUUUUGGACAAUGGGGGCAACCCUGAUCCAGCCAUGCCGCGUGCGGGAAGAAGGCCUUCGGGUUGUAAACCGCUUUUGUUCGGGAAGAAAUCCUCUGGGCUAAUACCCCGGGGGGAUGACGGUACCGGAAGAAUAAGCACCGGCUAACUACGUG